rnacentral:rRNA from 1 species
ACGCUGGCGGCGUGCUUAACACAUGCAAGUCGAACGAAGCUGUUGUUUGGAGACCUUCGGGUGGAAGAAUAACAGACUGAGUGGCGGACGGGUGAGUAACGCGUGGGUAACCUACCUUGCACAGGGGGACAACAGUUGGAAACGACUGCUAAUACCGCAUAAGACCACAGUACCGCAUGGUACAGGGGUAAAAACUGAGGUGGUGCAAGAUGGACCCGCGUCUGAUUAGCUAGUUGGUGGGGUAAAGGCCUACCAAGGCGACGAUCAGUAGCCGACCUGAGAGGGUGAUCGGCCACAUUGGGACUGAGACACGGCCCAAACUCCUACGGGAGGCAGCAGUGGGGAAUAUUGGACAAUGGGGGGAACCCUGAUCCAGCGACGCCGCGUGAGUGAAGAAGUAUUUCGGUAUGUAAAGCUCUAUCAGCAGGGAAGAAAAUGACGGUACCUGACUAAGAAGCCCCGGCUAACUACGUGCCAGCAGCCGCGGUAAUACGUAGGGGGCAAGCGUUAUCCGGAUUUACUGGGUGUAAAGGGAGCGCAGACGGCUUGGCGAGUCUGAAGUGAAAGCCCGGGGCUUAACCCCGGGACUGCUUUGGAAACUGUGAAGCUAGAGUGUCGGAGAGGUAAGUGGAAUUCCCAGUGUAGCGGUGAAAUGCGUAGAUAUUGGGAGGAACACCGGUGGCGAAGGCGGCUUACUGGACGAUAACUGACGUUGAGGCUCGAAGGCGUGGGGAGCAAACAGGAUUAGAUACCCUGGUAGUCCACGCGGUAAACGAUGAAUACUAGGUGUCGGGGGACAUAGUCUUUCGGUGCCGCCGCUAACGCAUUAAGUAUUCCACCUGGGGAGUACGUUCGCAAGAAUGGAACUCAAAGGAAUUGACGGGGACCCGCACAAGCGGUGGAGC